AUGUUAACCUUCACUGUAGUCCUGUUAUCCGAAUUUCUCUUAAUAGCAUUUCAUGGUGUUUCUGCAGCUGAAGAAAUCAUAUUCCCUAACAACGAAACGGUAAUUGCCAAAACAGACGAAAAAGUUCUCCUAUCCUGCAGCUACACUGGCACAGUUUAUGACUUAUAUUGGUACCGUCAAUCCCCUGGAUCAGCACCUCAGUUCCUCAUAAUGGAAUCAUCUGGAGUUAUAAUACAUGCUACUCCUCAGGUUCCUGGGAUAAAAAUGGUCAAUAAAAAGAACAUCAAGCAUGUGGAGUUGGAGAUCUUCAGUACAUCAGUGGAACAUUCAGCUGUGUAUUACUGCGCUGUGCAGCCCACAGUGAAAGAAAACACUCUGACUCCAUACAAAAACCUCAGCAAUCCUCAGUCACAUAGAGACAGAAGGCAGAUAUACUGUGUGUGA